AUCGAACGCUGGCGGCAUGCCUAACACAUGCAAGUCGAACGAGUGGCGGACGGGUGAGUAAUGUCGGGGAAACCGCCUGAGGGAGGGGGCUAACUACUGGAAACGGUAGCUAAUACCGCAUAUCAUCAGCUGUGCACAGACGGGAUUAGCUAGUUGGUGGGGUAACGGCUCACAAAGGCGACGAUCCCUAGCUGAUCUGAGAGGGUGACCGGCCACACUGGAACUGAGACACGGCCCAGACUCCUACGGGAGGCAGCAGUAGGGAAUAUUACACAAUGGGCGCAAGCCUGAUGCAGCCAUGCCGCGUGUGUGAAGAAGGCGUUCGGGUUGUAAAGUACUGUCGGCGGGGAGGCGGUACCCGAAGAGAAAGCACCGGCUAACUACGUGCCAGCAGCCGCGGUAAUUC
rnacentral:rRNA from 1 species